CUUGUACUCCUUCUGUCCGAAAAUACUUGUCAUUGAAAUGGAUGUAUCUAGAUGUAUUUUAGUUCUAGACACAUCCAUUUUGAUGACAAGUAAUUCCAGACGGAGGGAGUACUUG
rnacentral:pre_miRNA from 1 species